rnacentral:rRNA from 1 species
CUACGGGACGCUGCAGUGAGGAAUAUUGCACAAUGGGGGGAACCCUGAUGCAGCAACGCCGCGUGGAGGAUGACGCAUUUCGGUGUGUAAACUCCUUUUAUAUGUCAAGAGAAUGACGGUAGCAUAUGAAUAGGCACCGGCUAACUCCGUGCCAGCAGCCGCGGUAAUACGGAGGGUGCAAGCGUUACUCGGAAUCACUGGGCGUAAAGGACGCGUAGGCGGGUUGGAAAGUCAGGUGUGAAAUCCUACAGCUUAACUGUAGAACUGCACUUGAAACUUCUAAUCUAGAGUAUGGGAGGGGGAGAUGGAAUUAGUGGUGUAGGGGUAAAAUCCGUAGAUAUCACUAGGAAUACCUAAAGCGAAGGCGAUCUCCUGGAACAUUACUGACGCUAAGGCGUGAAAGCGUGGGGAGCAAACAGGAUUAGAUACCCGGGUAGUC